rnacentral:lncRNA from 1 species
AAACGGACCGAUUGCAUGUAUAAGAACAGACAUGCCAAACAACAUAUCAGAGGUCGACUUAUUCAUUGUCUUGAAAGAUUUCGUAUGGAUGACACAAACACAACAGAGGCUGGUCAGGCAAACAAGACCACGGAUUCUUCCACGGGAGCUCCUUGUAAAACAACACAUCAGAGGUCAACUUAUUCAUUGUCAACUAGAGAAAAAUGUCUCAAAAGAUUUCGUAUAGAUGACACAAACAGAACAGGGGCUGGUGAGGCAAACGAGAGCACGAAUUUUUGCACGGGAGCGCCUUGCCACGGCUGUUCUUCAGUAAAUCUCAACAAAAAGAUGGACUAGACGACUGCAGAUCCAGCUACCACUCUCUGGCCCCAGGCCCGCCAAGAAAGACGGACCCUGCUGCAAACAAAAACUUGUCCUACGCUGAAGCACCGGCCUCCUCCUCCUCUUUCCUUUUGCGAGCCCACUUGGGGCUGACCUCGAUAAGCCGGUGCGGCAUGAGCUGCUUCUCCUUCCGGGUGAGCUUCUUGUAGUUCAUGACCCUGAGUUUCGCAAUCUUGGCUUCCUCCUCGGCCGUGGCCUCUCUGACCACCACCGUCAGCCUGCACCUAG